GCCGAAGUGGCGAAAUUGGUAGACGCAGUUGAUUCAAAAUCAACUACCUUUGGUGUGCCGGUUCGAGUCCGGCCUUCGGUACCA
rnacentral:tRNA from 1 species